GUCCCUGUAGCGCAAUGGAUCGCGCGUUGGAAUUCAAAUUCAAAGGUUGUGGGUUCGAAUCCCACCUGGGAUG